GUUUAACGCUGGCGGCGUGCAUAACACAUGCAAGUCGAACGAUGAAACUUUAAUGAACCCUUCGGGGAGAAUUAAAGCGGUUUAUUGGCGAACGGGUGAGUAACGCGUGAGUAACCUGCCUUACACAAGGGGGUAGCCUUUGGAAACGAAGAAUAAUACCCUAUAAGACCAUACAAGCACAUGCAAUCAUGGUCAACGUGAUAGCGGUGUAAGAUGGACUUGCGGCUGAUUAGCUAGUUGGUGAGAUAAAAGCCCACCAAGGUAAGGAUCAGUCGCCGGCAUGGGAGAGUGGCCGGCAACAUUAGGAGUGAGACACGGCCCAGACUCCUACGGAAGGCAGCAGUGGGGAAUUUUGCACAACGGGGGAAAGCAGGAGGCAGCGACGCCGCGUGAUUUAGAAGGCCUGGGGGUUGUAAAAAGCGUUUGUAUAGGAAGAAAAUGACAGUACUAUACGAAUAAGGACCGGCUAAUUACGUG
rnacentral:rRNA from 1 species